rnacentral:lncRNA from 1 species
CACAAAAUAGAUUUUAUACGAGUGCUAAAUUAAGAUCCUUUAGAAGACCCUAAUUAUAGCUAAUUCCACAACUAUUCUUCAUGACAAGUCAUGCAAAACACAAAAUAAAAAAUUAAUUUUAUUUAUAAUAUUUUUAAAAUAUAGAAAAUUUUGAGUUAAUAUAAUUAUUGAAGUUCUACAAAUCAAAAAACUUAGCCAGCCAUACUGCAU